rfam:Caenorhabditis brenneri strain PB2801 C_brenneri-6.0.1_Cont48.8, whole genome shotgun sequence.
GGAAGCGUGGUGUAGUGUUUAGCGCAGCUGUUUUGGAAAUAUUCAUCGCGGGUUCGAUUCCGGCUGGUGCUA